AGUGAACGCUGGCGGCGUGCUUAACACAUGCAAGUCGAACGAGAACGGAUUAUAGCUUGCUAUAAUUGUCAGCUAAGUGGCGCACGGGUGAGUAAUGUAUAGGUAAUAUGCCUCUUACUAAGGGAUAACAAAUGGAAACGUUUGCUAAUACCUUAUGCUCCUUAUUAACCUAAGUUAAUAAGGGAAAGAUUUAUUGGUAAGAGAUUAGCCUGUAUUGUAUCAGUUAGUUGGUGGGGUAAUGGCUUACCAAGACUAUGGCACAUAACUGGUUUGAGAGGAUGAUCAGUCACACUGGAACUGAGACACGGUCCAGACUCCUACGGGAGGCAGCAGUGGGGAAUAUUGCACAAUGGACGAAAGUCUGAUGCAGCAACGCCGCGUGGAGGAUGACACAUUUCGGUGCGUAAACUCCUUUUAUAUGAGAAGAUAAUGACGGUAUUAUAUGAAUAAGCACCGGCUAACUCCGUGCCAGCCGCCGCAGUAA
rnacentral:rRNA from 1 species